CGUGAGAACUCAAGGGGAACUCAGGCAGCAGGAUACACCCUAUUCCCAGCAGGAAUAAUCUUAAACCUGGAACGCCCUAAACCCGAUUAUCCUAAACCGGGAACACCCUAAUCCCGGAUCCGCCCUGGUCCUUGAGCAAGGUCACCUACAUGCAAUGUCACUGCAAAAUGUCCUAUUUCCACGAGUCCUUCCACUAAGCAACAUGGGGUACGCUGGCAAGGAAAUUGUCA
rnacentral:lncRNA from 1 species